UGCCAAACUAACCAUCAGAAAUCCUCGGCU
rnacentral:piRNA from 1 species